rnacentral:siRNA from 1 species
AUUCAGUGCUUUGACUAGCUGC